ACGGAUCUCAACUAGGGUGCGGGCGAAGUGGCUCCAGUCCUCAGGGUGUGGCACUGCCAGCUACAGGAGACAAACACGGUCCCGGCCGCUGUAGUCGAAGAAGAUGUCGCCCUCCUCGGCCAGCGCCCGCUCCACCACAGAGACCGACCGCUCAAAGAACACCAGGAAGUCCUCUGAGUGGAGAAUCUGUUCCCUCUCCUCCUCCGUCAGCUCUCUGGGAUGGGCUGAGAGGGAUCACAUACAUUGUGAUACCAGUGUUGAGGAGAUAUGUUGGUUGUAUAUGUUUAGCUGCCCAACAAGUCACCUCAGAGGUUGCGAGUGCUUGUCCUAACAGCAGUGUGUUAAAGAACAUAAAGUCAUUAUUACCCUC